ensembl:lncRNA
CUUCUCUCUUGAGCUCUUCUCCCUCAAACUCUCACGCGCUCUUUGCGCUCGCUCAUAGAGUUCCGAGUAAACAGACCUCCGUCCCGUUCUCCUCACGGUGAUAUCAGAGAUGGCAAUUAAAGAGAACGACGAAUGCAUAGACUUCACACUCGUUAAUCAGUCGUUGUUCGACUCACACGCGGAUUUUCGAGGCGCUCUCUCACCCUCUGCGCGCGCUGUGACUCUCAUGCCGAGCGCGCGGGACAAGUUUUUUGCUCUCGGAUGGGGCUUUGCUUCGGAGAGUAUCUUACCAGGAUGCUAAGUUGGAAAUUGAGGAUUCUGACGCCUACUAUGAGCCUCUCGCUCCUCCUCUCGGGGUGUAGUCAUCGAAAGAAAGGCAAGCUGGGUUACAGCAGCUCAGCCUGAAUCGACACACACACACACACACACACACACACACACACACUCUCUCUCUCUCUCUCUCUCUCUCUCUCUACAUUCAUACCCUGGUACUCACUAACAAUCUUCCCCGCUAUCCCCCUAUUUUUGUCUCUAACAAGCCUCAAUGCUUUAGAUUGAGCUGCUUCAACCCCUGGAUGGCGGUCUCAUGCGAGCCAGUACAUCAACUUCAACUUUCCUCAUUUUCUAAAUACACGAAGCCUUCAUUUUCACGCAUGAUUAAUAACAAAUGGACUGUUAUCUUCUUGGGGACGGCUGGCCAAAUACGACAGGAGACACUACAAGAUUCGAUAAGCAGCCUGUUUAGCGAUAGUGGAGGGGUGAAUGAAAGAAAGCUUGGAAAGAGAGAUGCAGCAGGGACUAGUCACACUCUACAUGCGCUGCAUGGCAUAAAGGUGUGAAAAUACCAUGAGGGACUUCUAGCAGAUUUAAUCGACUUGCUGAUUCUCAUCAUGAUAGCCUUUACCACCCCAGUCAAUUUUAAGUGUUCAAGUGUUCAUAUGGCAGAGAUAGACUGGGUCCCCCAGCUGUGGCUCCAUAUUCCCGGUAGUCUUCCUCAGAGGCCCCUGGUGACUGACAGGCCGUUAGCCAGGCUAAAUGAUGUGAUGAUGAGCUUUUUAUGAGAAUGGAUUUAGAAAUGAGAGAUUUCAGACAAAGAUUGUGUGCAUUUUUCUCUCUCGUUCUUUCUGUCUCUCUCUCUCUCUCUCAUCUCCCUCCCCGUCUCUCUCUCUUUCCCCUGCCAGCCGGCUAGAUUAUGAUUGAUUUGGUUGAAAUGGAUUGUAGGAAGCAGACAUUGAUUUUUCAAUGACUUCUCACCCCCAAAAAAUAUUUAAAGUUGUAUCCACAACAUAGGAAUCUCAGUAUCCGAAAUUCUCUCUUCUCCCUGUGUCAUUCUUUGCUCUGAGAGCGAGAAAGCUCCGUAAUGCAGUCUAGUCAACGAUGAGACAAAUGACCUGUAAUGUUAUUUUGAAAUGAGUCAGUAAGCUGAAGGACUAAAGGAGUAUUGAUUUAGCCUAAUGAGGAUUGAGUGUUGGGAAAACAAGCUUUUUCAGGGUUUUGCCGACGUAUCUCUUAUCAGCACUAAGGCACACAACGAUACAGUGCACUCUGUACUAAAGCAGUACUACUGCAGAUGCCUGUAUAUUGUAAGGCCCAUUUGCUGUCUGUUGAUAUUAAAUCAGACACCACUAAAGACUGUUACGAUCAAAUAGUUGCAGGAAAAUAUCGUUCAUAAAAAGUAAUCUGACAACAGAUAUUUUAGCUGGUCACAUUUUAUGAGUGUAUGAAAGAGCCUUUAGGUAUCAUAGGUGCAAUAGAUUUUUUUUUUUUUUUUUUUUUUUAAGUUAUGUAUACAGACAGUUAGAUAGCAGCUGUUUAUUACAGUCACUGAAUCAGAACUGAAAUUAUUGGUGUAUUCACCAUGGGUUUUAAGUUUUUUUUUUUUUUUAGCUUUGUGUGCGAUGACAGAAUAAACCUUGCCAUUGCAACUUCA